GGUGGGAUGCGAGAGUCCGGCUGAAUCGGCAGUCCUGGAAAGACUGAAUGGCCGAAAGGUCAUCGUGGGUUCGAAUCCCACUCCCACCGCCA
rnacentral:tRNA from 1 species